rnacentral:lncRNA from 1 species
CCAAAACAAUUCAAAAGAAGUUAAUCAAAACAGUGAACAAUACUAGAACAAUCUCAUUGGAGAAAUAAUAUCCAAAUCGGUCCGAAUAGUAAUAACAAAAUUGUGGUAAUAAUAACAUCAAUCAACUGAAAAUCUACACAAAUAUAUAUUUUUUUUAAAAAAAAAUGGAAGAGAAAAAAGGUCACUUUAAUGUAGCAUUUUUGAAAUAGUUCUGAUUGUUUUUGUUGUUCGUCGGAGCUCAGAGCGGCAGCAGGGGUCCGGCUAUUUCAUCGAUCAUCCUCCGAUGUGGAGUUUCUAUUUGUGAUGUUCUGGAGCUUGAAACCACGCUCAAUACCUGCAAAAGAAUGAAAAAUCGAAAGGGGAAAGGGGAAGUAGUCUGGUUCAGUUGCUCAUCAAAGCUUGGAGCUCAUGGGUUUCGGAGCUUGCCGGUUCGAGUGAGAUCUGAUGGAGUUGCUGAUCUUUUAGGGUGGGUCUGGGUGAAGGAAAACAGGGGUUGAGUGAUGCGGUUUUGAUUUCGCCUGAUUCUUUUUUGUUGUUUGGGGUCGUUUCUGGUGGGGAUUAUGGCAUGGAUUUUUUGGUACGUUUGGUGGUUGUUCCAAAUGGGUCUGGUGGGUUUGGAGGGUUAUUUUGCUGGUGAAUUUGGAGGCUAUUUCUGGUGAUGAUUUGGGGUCGAAGCUGGCAAGGGGCGGAUCCACGUUACAUUGGAGGGGCACACGUGCAUUUGGUAAUUUCAAAAAAUUCAUAUUUAUAUAUAUAUAUUUAUUUUAAAAAAUUGGUAGAAAUUAAGAUAUAGUUAAUAAUGCAUCUAUAAAAAAAACAUAGAAGAACAAGUAGAAGCAAGAGAUAUUACCCUCUAGACCAGGGUUUGAAUUUCACUUAAGCUUAUUUUUAUUAUUUUUAUUUUAAUUUUAGCGUAGACAUCAUAUUUGAGUUAUGCGUAUAUUAAUGCACCAAAAGUCUUCAAAUCCUGAGUUCACCUCUGAUUGGAUCGCUAUAGUUGAAAAAUUAUAAUACAAAAGAAAUUUUAAAAUGCAAAAUCGAAAAAAGUGAAUAAAGACGAAACAUAUUAAAAAUUAUCACGCAUUUUCUGUAUUAGGCUUCUAAAUAUCCUGAUGCCCUCCACAUUACCAAGAAAGAAAUAGUUUGUUGAACAAUCGAUCAUCUACUAUAUGCAAACCUGAUCAGUGAUACCUUUCGAUAUACAGAAGGUUCAUUAGCGACUUCAUUGAGGAACCUGGAACUGAGAAAUGAAAUAAAAUGAUUAGGAAAUGAAAUUAAAGAUCAAAAAUUGAUUAAUAUAUAUACUGUUAUGAAACUAUAUGAAAUUAGAAGACGAAUAAAGUAGGGUGAAGAGAAAAAUUUCUUAUUUCUCUUGAAGUAUAUUCAGGAUUCAUUGAUCUUCCUCAGAUCUUCUUUACAAUGAAGGAAAACCUUUUAUUUUAUUGGGAAGACCUUACUUCGUUCCCAAGUAGGAUACCUAACUAUAUCCUACAAGGACUCUAUAUAAUUGGACAUUCACUAUAAUACAAAUAUGUUUAUAACACUCUCCCUUGAAUGUCGGUAGAUUAUGUGCCUCAUUAAAACCUUACAAGAUAAACGCAGUAGAAAAAAAAUCUAUUGAAGGAAAAAGAGUAUACAUAUCUAGUAAUACGCAUUAUGGAUGCCUCAUUAAAAACCUUACAAGGAAAACUCAGUGGGACAAAAUCUUGUGAGGGAAAAAGAGUACAUCGCGUAUUAAUUCCCCCAAAUGACAUCAUCAAUUCAGAGACUAGAAUCUUCAUUUUCCAAGCUUGUGCACUUGAAAGUUGUAGUUGGUAGAGACUUGGUGAAUAAAUCAACAAUAAUAUUACUUGAACAAACAUCUUGCAUGUUGAUAUCACCAUUCUUGGGAGCUUAUGAGUGUAGAAAAACCUUGAUGACAUAUGUUUUCUUCUAUCUCCUUUUAUGAAUCUUUCCUUCAGGGUCAAAAAUUUCUGCAAGUUUGUUACUUCAACUUCUUUAAGCAAAUAAUCUUUUGUCAAAAAUUUCAAUUCUAGUCAUCAACUUGCAUAAUAAUACUUGUAUAUGCUCUAUGCAUUUUGAAUCUAUUUAAUCCUUAUGAGGAUGAUAAACAAGUUUUCCAAAAACUUGUAUAUGCUUUAGAUUUUGAACCCAUUAAAUAUUUUCAUAUUUUCAUAUUAAUUUUGUCAAGUAACACAUUCAAUAUUAGAUGUAUGACAUCCUUUAAUGCCUAGAUUGCAAGUCAAAUAAGUUUUACACUUACCACGAUGCAUCAUUCCACUUUUCACUUGGUAAUUAUUUCUACACAAGCAUGCUUUAAUAGAUGUAGAAUUCAUAUACUCAUAAUCUUUUACAAUAUUGUGCGUCAUUGUAUCAAAGAUAUCGUCAAUUAUAUAUCAUUUUGUAUCGAUUCACAAUAUGACAAAACUUAUUGAGAUCUCAUUACUUCAUUAUUUUUAGGCAACUACCUCUCUCAUGAGGUUUUAUAAAGUGUUAUGUCGUAAGAUCUUCAAGAGCACAUUGUAUCCUUAUUAUAAUUAUUUUGAUUCUUUGAUCCUCCCUCUUUUUCAAGGAUUAUUUUAUUUAAAAUUGAUUAGUUUAUCAUGCUUCAUGCAUGUCAUAGACUUUAUCUUAAGGGACAUUCAAUAGGAGUAUUUACAAUUCUUCUGUUGCUUCUAGUCUCCCCCUUUUGUUAAACAAACUAACAUAUAUCUCAAUCAUUUGGAGAAUCUAUCUUUGUGCAUCAUUGUAUAUUCAUUGAUUAUAUAUUACAUACCAAAAUAAUCAGAUGAAAGAUAUUUAAUCAUUGACCAUAAAUCGAUAGAAAGAUAAUUUGAUCAUAAUUUAUUGGUUUAAUGAAUACAAUUACUUUUGUAUGCGGUAUCAUAUUUCAGAUCGACACAUGGAGCUUUAUUUUCACAAGCAAUGAUUUCACUAUCUUAAACACUUAAUGUCACAACAUCUUGAAUAUUUAUCAAUAUUAUCAAGAUAAAUUGUCUUGAUCACAUAUUUUAAAUUGUGCUCUUAACUCAAUUUUUUUUUUGCACAAACAAUUUUAUGAAUGACAAACUACAUGUUGACAACAAACGCACAUGUGAUUAUCUUAUAGAUGCAUCUCUUUACCAUAUCACAUGAUAGGUGAACGGGCCCAUAUUCACCUUUUAUACUUUUCAGAAUUUAAGGAUUUAGUCCCAACUUUAGUUGAUCGAAUCAACUUUAUCACGAGAACAAGCAACGAAAAGAAUUCUUGAAGAAUCUUCUAGUUUUUCAAAGUAUGUCCAUUACUCAGUAUGCACAUCUUUGGGAUAAUCAAUUUAUUCAUGCCAACUAAUAAAAUUAUUAGUACUCGUAAACUCCAUGUUUACUACGCCAUGUGUCUUUUGCUUUAGUAAAUUUAUGAUUUACUAUUACAUGAGUAAAUAUCAAUUUUAUUACUCCAAGAGUAAUUUUCAGAUUUAUUUCUUCUCAAUUUCUUUAUCCUUUAAGUGAGUCGUGAUCCCAUCAUUGAAUGAACUAAUCUAAAGAACAUUGUGCAUGUAAACAUAUUAUUUGUGCCAAUAUUUUUGCAAACAUCAAGUUGCGAGAUAAUAAUAGGCACACAUGAGACCAUAUAGAAGAAAUAUUUAUUAGGACCAUUAAGUAUCUAAACAUUCCACUAGGUGUAUGAAUAAGUCCACAAAUAUUUAUAUACGUUCCUAAAACGCAGGAGAUUCAAUUUCAACCGUUUAUGAUGACCUCACAAUUAACUUGCCUUGUUAACAAGUAGUACAAGAAAUUCACCGUUUAAAAGAAUUUUUAGGUUCUUCCAUGGAUGUCCAUUUUAACUUUCCAUAAUUCGUCUAAACAUUAUAGACUAACGAUGUCCCAGACAAUCGUGUCAAACUAAGAAAGUAUUGGAAUUAGCAAACUUCUUAUUUACCAUAGAAUGUGCCUCAAUUGCACUAAUUUUUGUCCAAUACAAGCCUGAAUAUAAAACAUGAAACUUUUCUAUAAUACAUGUCUUCUGAGAGACAUUCUUAGUGAUACCACAUCAUUGGAAAAAAAUCGCAAUCUUUCUCAUGCCUGACAUGGUGGCUUACACCUCAUUCCCUUUAGAGAAUGGAUUUAUAUUUUUACCAUUUAUCAAAAUUUUUCAUUCUUGAUGAAUGGAACACAAACAUGUGAUCAAAUCAAAUGAUAGUUGUAGUACCUCAUUCCAUAUUAUGUGCAUUAUUAAAUCACUUGUCUUCUUUCACACAUAUUAUGCACUACUAUUACGUUCACUUUACGUAAUGAAGAAAAUUCAGUAAAUCUCAUGACUUCUCAUAAAAUACACAUUAGUUUUUCUUUAGUCAUUAUUAUAUCAUCAAUAUGGUGCAUUAGAACUCAAAUUCAAUGUCUUAUCCAUAUAAAAGUGUCUUAGGUCAUAAAUCGAUGGGUCUUGAACCCAAUAUCUUAUCAUCAUGGUGCAUCUUGACUUUGAUCCAAUGUCUUAUCCUCUUUGUGCGAUUGGACAUAAAUCCAUCGUUUUAUUCUUUUGAUCCGAUGAAAAUUGAUUCAUCAUCUUAUUCUCAAUUGAGACUCACCCGAGUCUCUAAUGAUAUAUCAACUCCAAUAAUCUUUUUGAAUUAAUUGCUCAUAUAAUAAUAAUAAUAAUAAUAAUAAUAAUAAUAAUAAUAAGUUUCAAAUUAAAAUUGAACAUGUACAUAUGUUCACAUAAAAAUGUGUUCACUGCCACCGUCUUGUUUGUUUUUUCUUUUUGAAUUUAUAUGCGAUUAUCCCACAUUUUUAUUUUGUCAAUUAAUUUGUAGAUUAUCAGAAUUAACAAUAAAUGUUAAUCAAGAAAAAUACUACACAUACUUGUUUGGUGUCCCACUUGCAAUAUUAACACGAUUCUUGAGAGAAGAAGUCUGCUCAAUCUGAAUGAUCUAAACUUAAUCACAAAAUUUGAGAUUCGUGCUGGUAACGUGUUAUGAAACUAUAUGAAAUUAGAAGACGAAUAAAGUAGGGAGAAGAGAAAGAUUUUUUAUUUCUCUUUAAGUAUAUUCAGGAUUAAUAGAUCUUCCUCAAAAGAAUCUAUUCGACUUUUGUGAUGUUAUUUUUGAAGAUUUCUUAUUCAUAUUGGAUAUUCAGUAAAAUUUGAAAAGUUGCAACUUUGAGGACGAAGAGAAUAGAAGAGAAGAGACAAACUUUUGACUUUUCAAAUGUAAGUACUUUUUUUUAAAAAAAAUGGUAAAAUAUGAAGAAUCGCGUCAUUAAGUUUUUUUUUAAAGUUGUUUAAAUGAUAGCAAUGAUAUGAUUGAUUGAAUGUUCAUACACAUUAUACGUAAGUAUUUUUUUUUAAAAAAAUAUGUUGGUAUAGAUUUAUUUUAUCUUUUUGUGCUUGUAACACAUAAUUUACAUAUGUUGGGACAAAUAUAAUUUUAUGUUAUAUUAUCUAACACAUAAUUGACAUAUGUUGCCACAGAAGUAAUAUUUUGUGCUAAGAGGCAACACAUAACUUCAUAAGUUUCCAUCGAUGCAAUAUUCUGUUGUAAAUGGCAACACAUAAUUGACAUAUGUUGCCACACAUGAAAUAUUUUGUUGUUAGUAGCAACACAUAAUUGACAUAUCUUGCCACAAAUGAAAUAUUCUAUUAUAACUAGCAACACAUAACUAAAUAAAUCACAUAUUAAAUAUAAAUAACAUCACAUAAGUCGAUUCUAAAUAAUAUAAGAAGAAAGAAAGAAUUCUUAAGCAUUCAUCAAAAUUCAAGAACACUACUUAUGGGACAUUUCGAUUUGGCCAUAUAUUUUUUAUGGCCAAAGUCCCUACAUAUGGAACACUUAUUUUUUCUUGUUUGAAAUGAUUCACCAACUCCACGCCGUCUCUUAUAUCUCCUUCUUCCAAGUUUUCUUGCAUCAACAUAUGGAGGAGGUACUUCUCUCUGUAUUAUAUCCAAAGGGACAAUCCAAGAAACUUCAUAUGGCACCAGGUGUGUUUCCUGACAAUUUUUCAUUGUAUAUUUUUCCACCUAAUAAUAUGAAGAGGAGUAAUCAUAAAUCUGAUUUCCAAAAUAAGCACCAUGUUGGGAUCGAAGCGUUGUUAUGACAUGUGGACAAGGUAUUUUAUUCAAGUCAAAAAUUCUGCAAGUACAAGUUCUUCUUUGUAAAUCCACAUAAGCAACAUUAGCAUGACCAGUGACACUGAACUUGUAGUUAGCGAUUUGAUGAGUCAACAACUUGUUGCUCGCAUUGACAUACUCUGCUAUGUCUUUUGAAAUUGAGGGAACAAAUGUGUAACGACCUGUUUAGUCGUUUUGAGCAACAGACUUCAAUUCUGGAAAAACUGACAGAAGCGACGGACCCCACGACGGACCGUCAAGGGCACGACGGACCGUCGCAGGGUCUCGUUUCAAAACACUUAGAAAAUCUGAAAUUGGGUACUGAAAAUCGACUCUCUGAACUUCGUGACGGAAUGGCAGGAUGGACCGUCACAGGUGUGAUGGACCGUCACAGAUUGUUCAGUGGAAGUUGACUCUCUGACCCUUGCGACGACCUGCAGGACGGACCGUCGCAGGCACGACGGCCCGUCACAGGUUGCGCAAAUCCCAGGCAGAGUCGGAUUUCUGGUGAAGUUUUAAGGGACGUUUUUGGACUAUUCUUUCCUUAAUUAUAGAUUUCGUGGGGGUUAUAUUAAUAACUAAAAUUCUUAAGGGGUUAAAAGAGGUAACCCUAAGUUAAUUAGUGGGGUAUUAUUGCCAUCUUUUAUUCUUAAUUAUAUACUAAUUAGGGUAAAAGAAAGAGGGUUUGAAUAAAGAAAAUAGAAAGAACAAGAGAAAGAGAGAGAAUCGAACGAGAAGGGAGAAACAAAGCUUUGGGAAAAUUCUUGCUUGAUUCAACUCUUCGGUGGAGGUAGGUUAUGGUUUUCAUACUAUUCGUAGUAAACUCUUAAUAGCGAAUGAUAUGUGUUAGUAGUAUUGUGAACCUUCUAUAUGCUUAAUUGUAUGCUUGCAUGAAUGAUGUGAUUAUGUAAUUAUGAAUAAAUAAGCAUGAUGAAGCUAUUGAAUCCCAAAUCUUGAAAAGAAACCCUAAUCUACUUUGUUAAUGAUGAUGCCUUGGUAUAAAAGAAGGCUUGAUGAAUGAAAGUAGUGAGAUUAGGGGAUCGGGUGCCACGUUCCGGUACCAGGAUAGUAUAUGAGGAUCGGAGUGUCACGUUCCGACACCAGGAUAGAAUAUGGAUCGGGUGUCACGUUCCGACACCAGGAUAGAAUAUGGAUCGGGUGUCACGUUCCGACGCCAGGAUAGAAUAUGGAUCGGGUGUCACGUUCCGGUACCAGGAUAGUAUAUGAGGAUCGGAGUGUCACGUUCCGACACCAGGAUAGAAUAUGGAUCGGGUGCCACGUUCCAGUACCAGGAUAGAAUGAGGAUCGGAGUGUCACGUUCUUACACCAGGAUAGUAUAUUGAGGAGCGGAGUGUCACGUACCGACACGAGGGGAAUAAAGAUAAUGAUUCUUGAAAGAUGUUAAUAUAUUCAAUUUAAUAUACUUAAUUCCCAAAUGAGUAUGGUGUUGAGGCUUGAGCCCUCAUGGAUGAACUUGAUGGUACUUAUUGAUGAUUAUAAUACUUGUUGUUGCUUCAUGUUGAGUUUUAUAGUUGAUUUACGAUAAUAUUGAUAUAUACUGUUCCCUAUUUUGAGUUGGCCGAUGAUAUCUACUCAGUACCCGUGUUUUGUACUGACCCCUACUUUUAUGUUUUUCUUCUUGUUAUUUGUGGAGUGCAGCAAACGUGCCGUCAUCUUCGACUCAACAGUAACUCAAGCCAGUAUUCGCCACACCGGAUCUUCAGGGUGAGCUAACGCUUCUAGCUUGGACUGGAUCUUCUCCUUCAUGUCUUGAUGCCUUGAACUUCCGGCAUGGACUAGCUUCUUAUGUAUUUUUAGCUUUUUAGAUACUCUUAGUUUAGUAAUUUAAAGGUAGAUGUUCUUGUGAUGAUGACUUCCAGAUUCUGGGGAUAAUGAUAAGUUUUUGAGUUAUAGAAGUUGAUUAUUGAUUUUACUUAUGAGUUUAAGUCUUCCGCAUUACUUUCUGUUUAUAUUAUAUUGAAAUGUUAAGGUUUAGAUUGGUUGGUUCGCUCACAUAGGAGGGUAAGUGUGGGUGCCAGUCGCAACCCGGUUUGGGUCGUGACAAAAUGUAUUUGCAGAGUGCACCAGUUUCAUACACCACUGGUGAAAUAACAGUGCAAUCUCAUGUUUAUUUCAUUUAAUAGAACUUUC